rnacentral:rRNA from 1 species
CCCCUAGAUGUUCUGGGCCGCACGCGCGCUACACUGAACAGUUCAACAAGUCUUAACCUUGGCCGAUAGGUCUGGGUAAUCUUUGAACGCUGUUCGUGAUUGGGAUAGACCUUUGCAAUUAUGGGUCUUCAACGAGGAAUUCCUAGUAAACGCAAGUCAUCAGCUUGCAUUGAUUACGUCCCUGCCCUUUGUACACACCGCCCGUCGCACCUACCGAUUGAAUGGUCCGGUGAAAUCUCGGGACGGCGGCUUGGUCGCUUGCGUCCGACUGCUGAAACUUGAUUAAACCAUAUCAUUUAGAGGAAGGUGAANUCGUAAC